GGGGUGAUAGUUUUAAUUGGCAAAACAGCGGAUCCCAAAUCCGUCAUUCUAGGUUCAAACCCUAGUCGCCCCGCCA
rnacentral:tRNA from 1 species